rnacentral:rRNA from 1 species
UACGGGGGGGGGCAAGCGUUGUUCGGAAUUACUGGGCGUAAAGCGCGUGUAGGCUGCCCCUGCAAGUCGGAUGUGAAAGCCCUGGGCUCAACCUAGGAAGUGCAUUCGAAACUGCAGGGCUGGAGUCCUGGAGAGGAAGGCGGAAUUCUCGGUGUAGAGGUGAAAUUCGUAGAUAUCGAGAGGAACACCGGUGGCGAAGGCGGCCUUCUGGACAGUGACUGACGCUGAGACGCGAAAGCGUGGGGAGCAAACAGG